UGGUCCAUGACAUUAGGCCCAGCAAAGUAGAUGGAGAGCUGAAAGACCAAGCUUAUGCAGGGAAGGGUGGUUCGGGAAUUUCCCAUACAAAAUCGUAAGAAAAAAAGUGGGUUUCUCUCGUCGUCCGGAAAAGUGAUCGACCGCGUUGAAAACAAACGUCCGGAAUUAAGCUGAGAGGCAAAGCAGCUUCUGCAGUUUUUACAAGUUAGAAAUAGUAUGGAAGCUACGCCUGACGGAAAUGAAUCGUCGAGGGACGUUAAAACCCUAUUCUCAUUUUACUCCAACUAUCUAUGGAACCGACUCACCACUUUGUUUCCUUCUUCCCCUUUCAAUUUUCUCGAGAAAAUGUCAAAUCUGUCUCGCCAAACGGCUCUCCCCAUCUCAGCAAAACGCAGGACUGGUCUCCCUCUCCCAUUGCCUUCCGACUCAUUCAGCUCCACCACCCCGAUGACGCCGGAGGCAUCGAGAGUUUAUGAAGUUCUAAAUGAUAUAGUGGAUCGCUCCAUUUUGAAUUUGCAUAAAAUUCAAAAUAAUUUGCAAUUUUGGCAAUCUAGAGCAGAGGGAUCUAAUGCUAGGAAAGUUUACUUCAUGAUUUUUGAGAGAGGGCCACAAGCAUUUUUUAAUGAAACAGUUCAACUCAUGCGAGAAAGCGUUGCUGAUGGUUCAGCAAUGCAGCAUUUUUCCCAUUCUGCUUCUUCAUACAUUUCGGAAAGAAUAGCUGUCUUAUCUACCUUAAGGUGUUCAGUUGCUGUUUUUCUGGCUGAGUUUUAUACGGAAGUUGACAAAUGUGGAGAAGAGUUAGUGAAAGAUCCAGCGAAGUCAUUUCUCUCACUAAUGGUUACUCUUAAUGGUUUAUUUUCAAAGUUGGAGGCAUCAAUUGGCCAUCUACACGCCCUGCGUCAGAGUAAUUCUUCUGUUGAUGGAACCUAUUCAUUUCCCCUACUAUUUGAGAAAUUGCCAGAAAUCAAUCAGGAAGAGUCUCAAUGGACAGAUUGUGAAAUUAGCGAUGCUAUCAACUUGAUUUAUAGGAAUCUACAGGAACUGGACUCUUACUUAGCUCGUAUGGUAGCUAAACACAAAAAGCCAGGGAAAGUAACUCGUUACUGGAUCCGGUAUACAUGUGGUGCAGUUGGCCUUUCAAUUUGUUCUUUCUGGCUCCUACGGCAUAGUCGUCUGAUGGGAAGUUCUGACAUUGACAAUUGGAUUCAUGAAGCAAGGGAAUCAACAGUUAGCUUCUUUAAUGACCAUGUUGAGCAACCGCUUCUGUCAAUUAGAGAUGAACUUUUGGAUACUUUCAAGAAGAGGCAGAAAGGUGUGAUGGAUAUGGAGGAAGUGCAGUUGACUUCCAAUUCUCUUCACAGAAUGUUAUUGGCCUUCAGUGAGCAGACAAAGGGUAAAAAAUUACCAGAGAAUGCAUCAGAUCAGGAAAUGCUUGAGAUAGUUAUGGCAAGAUAUGAAAAGGAACUUAUGCAUCCUAUCCAGAAUCUUCUCCAUGGAGAGCUUGCUCACGCUCUUCUCAUCCAGGUUCAGAAGUUGAAACUGGAUAUUGAGAUGGCCAUGCUUGAACUGGAUCAGAUUCUCAGAGCAAAUGAAAUCAACUUUGCGAUCCUUGCUGCCUUGCCAGCAUUCUUUCUAUCUCUUGGUCUGAUCGUAGCUGCGCGUGCAUGGUUUAGACAGGAUACUAGAGCAGAAGGCAGGGGAAGAAUUGCUCGGAUCCAGAGGCGGCUGCUCAUUGUGGAGGUUGAGAAAACAAUUAUGCAGUACCAAACUUAUGUUGACCAAGGGCUGGGGAAAGGUUUAAGAGUUCAAGUUCUAACUAGCUUUGAUGGCGAGGUAAUAAGAAGGGCUUCACUGAUGAUGACAUCACUUUGGUGAUCAUUCUUUAUUUUUCUCAUUUUGCCAACCCUAGAGAUUGGUCAGAGAUUGAGUUGAUUUCUACAGUUCCACUUAUUGUGGCCCCAAAGAGAGAACUGGAAGCGGCGUUCUACUUGCCAUGUGCUCUGUUUUUGUAUUUUUGUUAUUGUUUCCUGAAAGCAUCUUUACAGUCCAUUCUCUUCCCGUCCAUUCCUUUCUUGAUAUUCACUUGGUAACUGGUAUGCUUUCAUAUGCUCAUUGUUUAUAAGCUAAUCUACAUAUACUUUAUGCAUUUUUGUUUCCAUGUGGAUUCUGUUAGUGGCAAGAAAAAAAGUUAAUUUUCCUUGCAUCUUACACAAGACAAAAUACGCCUAUGCAUGCAUGUCCUCCUGUUGAGGCAGUGAGAUAUGGUUGUCGUAUUUGGUACAAAUAGAAAAAGUCAUUGUAAGAUUUCAGUGGUCCCACUUCUUGGAGCCUGAUCUGUUGUCUUUGUAUGGAUCUUUGCAUAAUAUUCAAAGUUCACUCAGGGUUAGAGGUAUCGUUUGUGGGAAGAACCUAUGUUUGGUUCAAAAUCUUUGUCUCUUGAUGGAUUAGAAUGCGCUUGUUGAUUGAGUAAACCAAAAUCCCAUUUGCUUUGACUGAUACUGCUACUGCACUUGACUAUCUCCUUCCUACAUAAAAAAAGGUAAAACAUAUCUAAUGCUAUUUCACAGGAAAAUGAUGCACAAUGCAUGUUUGGGAUGUUGAUAUAUUGUCUAGAUUGCUUAUACAGUGCCGUCAGAGGGCACGCAAAGACAACCGGUGAAUGGCAAUGUUUGAAACAGGAUAUAAUUGAUUUGGGAAAGCCUGGUCUUCAAACUGC